GCAGCCGCCACGGUAAUACGUAGGGUGCAAGCGUUAAUCGGAAUUACUGGGCGUAAAGCGUGCGCAGGCGGUUAUAUAAGACAGAUGUGAAAUCCCCGGGCUCAACCUGGGAACUGCAUUUGUGACUGUAUAGCUAGAGUACGGCAGAGGGGGAUGGAAUUCCGCGUGUAGCAGUGAAAUGCGUAGAUAUGCGGAGGAACACCGAUGGCGAAGGCAAUCCCCUGGGCCUGUACUGACGCUCAUGCACGAAAGCGUGGGGAGCAAACAGGAUUAGAUACCCGCGUAGUCCCUGUCUCUUAUAC
rnacentral:rRNA from 1 species